GGACUACCCGGGUUUCUAAUCCUGUUUGCUACCCACGCUUUCGUGUCUCAGCGUCAGUGAUGGUCCAGCAAGCUGUCUACACCACAGGUGUUCCUCCUGAUAUCUACGCAUUUCACCGCUACACCAGGAAUUCCGCUUGCCUCUCCCAUACUCGAGCACUCCAGUUUCCGGCGCACCCUCCCAGUUGAGCCGGGAGAUUUCACACCAGACUUAGAGCACCGCCUACACACUCUUUACGCCCAGUAAUUCCGAACAACGCUUGCUGCCUACGUAUUACCGCGGCUGCUGGCAC
rnacentral:rRNA from 1 species